rnacentral:rRNA from 1 species
UACGUAGGGGGCAAGCGUUGUCCGGAUUUAUUGGGCGUAAAGAGCGUGUAGGCGGUCAGGUAGGUCCGUUGUGAAAACUCGAGGCUCAACCUCGAGACGCCGAUGGAAACCAUCUGACUAGAGUCCGGAAGAGGAGAGUGGAAUUCCUGGUGUAGCGGUGAAAUGCGCAGAUAUCAGGAAGAACACCCGUGGCGAAGGCGGCUCUCUGGGACGGUACUGACGGCUGAGACGCGAAAGCGUGGGGAGCGAACAGG